rnacentral:tRNA from 1 species
GCCCGGAUGGCGGAAUUGGUAGACGCGCCAGACUUAGGAUCUGGUACCGAUAGGUGUGGAGGUUCGAGUCCUCUUCCGGGCACCA